rnacentral:rRNA from 1 species
GACGAACGCUGGCGGCGUGCUUAACACAUGCAAGUCGAACGGAAAGGCCCUGCUUUUGUGGGGUGCUCGAGUGGCGAACGGGUGAGUAACACGUGAGUAACCUGCCCUUGACUUUGGGAUAACUUCAGGAAACUGGGGCUAAUACCGGAUAGGAGCUCCUGCUGCAUGGUGGGGGUUGGAAAGUUUCGGCGGUUGGGGAUGGACUCGCGGCUUAUCAGCUUGUUGGUGGGGUAGUGGCUUACCAAGGCUUUGACGGGUAGCCGGCCUGAGAGGGUGACCGGCCACAUUGGGACUGAGAUACGGCCCAGACUCCUACGGGAGGCAGCAGUGGGGAAUAUUGCACAAUGGGCGGAAGCCUGAUGCAGCAACGCCGCGUGCGGGAUGACGGCCUUCGGGUUGUAAACCGCUUUCGCCUGUGACGAAGCGUGAGUGACGGUAAUGGGUAAAGAAGCACCGGCUAACUACGUGCCAGCAGCCGCGGUGAUACGUAGGGUGCGAGCGUUGUCCGGAUUUAUUGGGCGUAAAGGGCUCGUAGGUGGUUGAUCGCGUCGGAAGUGUAAUCUUGGGGCUUAACCCUGAGCGUGCUUUCGAUGCGGGUUGACUUGAGGAAUUUAGGGGAGAAUGGAAUUCCUGGUGGAGCGGUGGAAUGCGCAGAUAUCAGGAGGAACACCAGUGGCGAAGGCGGUUCUCUGGGCCUUUCCUGACGCUGAGGAGCGAAAGCGUGGGGAGCGAACAGGCUUAGAUACCCUGGUAGUCCACGCUGUAAACGGUGGGUACUAGGUGUGGGGUCCAUUCCACGGGUUCCGUGCCGUAGCUAACGCUUUAAGUACCCCGCCUGGGGAGUACGGCCGCAAGGCUAAAACUCAAAGGAAUUGACGGGGCCCCGCACAAGCGGCGGAGCAUGCGGAUUAAUUCGAUGCAACGCGUAGAACCUUACCUGGGUUUGACAUGGAUCGGGAGUGCUCAGAGAUGGGUGUGCCUCUUUUGGGGUCGGUUCACAGGUGGUGCAUGGCUGUCGUCAGCUCGUGUCGUGAGAUGUUGGGUUAAGUCCCGCAACGAGCGCAACCCUUGUUCACUGUUGCCAGCACGUUAUGGUGGGGACUCAGUGGAGACCGCCGGGGUCAACUCGGAGGAAGGUGGGGAUGACGUCAAGUCAUCAUGCCCCUUAUGUCCAGGGCUUCACGCAUGCUACAAUGGCUGGUACAGAGAGUGGCGAGCCUGUGAGGGUGAGCGAAUCUCGGAAAGCCGGUCACAGUUCGGAUUGGGGUCUGCAACUCGACCUCAUGAAGUCGGAGUCGCUAGUAAUCGCAGAUCAGCAACGCUGCGGUGAAUACGUUCCCGGG